rnacentral:rRNA from 1 species
GACGAACGCUGGCGGCGUGCUUAACACAUGCAAGUCGAACGGAAAGGCCCUGCUUUUGUGGGGUGCUCGAGUGGCGAACGGGUGAGUAACACGUGAGUAACCUGCCCUUGACUUUGGGAUAACUUCAGGAAACUGGGGCUAAUACCGGAUAGGAGCUCCUGCUGCAUGGUGGGGGUUGGAAAGUGUCGGCGGUUGGGGAUGGACUCGCGGCUUAUCAGCUUGUUGGUGGGGUAGUGGCUUACCAAGGCUUUGACGGGUAGCCGGCCUGAGGGGGUGACCGGCCACAUUGGGACUGAGAUACGGCCCAGACUCCUACGGGAGGCAGCAGUGGGGAAUAUUGCACAAUGGGCGGAAGCCUGAUGCAGCGACGCCGCGUGCGGGAUGACGGCCUUCGGGUUGUAAACCGCUUUCGCCUGUGACGAAGCGUGAGUGACGGUAAUGGGUAAAGAAGCACCGGCUAACUACGUG